GUGCUCACUUCGGCAGCCCAUACACUAAAAUUGGAACGAUACAGAGAAGAGUAGCAUGGCCCCUGCGCAAGCAUGACACACAAAUUCAUGAAGUGUUCCAUAUUUUU